GCGGGGACCCGAGGCGGCGGGGAGCUCACCGCAAGGCUGGAGGCCGGAGGCGGCGGCCGCGGGCGCGCUAGGAGCCGAGACAGCGAGCGAGCGCUCUGCAGCGGGCGGUGGACGCGCUGAAGCAGGCACCAGCCCUGGAGAAGCUUCUGCCAGUGCUUGGAGACAUGCGCUUGGACCUUGGAGGGCGCCCGGCCGCUGAGGCGAAAACCUUGCGUUCGUUCAGCUCCCAAAGGGACCCCCACUCCACGGCAGCCCCGGCUGGAAACGAGGGACCCAGGCCCCAGCCAGAACGCCAGGACCCGACACCACAAGGCACCAGAGGCCCCUGAGCAACGAACCAAAAGUCAGAAGCCCGGAAGAGCGGCCUCGGUUGCUUUGGGCUUGGGCACGGCAGGAGAACACAGACCCACCCACCUCCACCGCCAAAGCUCUCCAAGACCCUGGAGCAAGCGCCCCUCUGGGGCAGCCGGCCUGUGCCUCCGCCCCAGUACUUGCUCCGUCAGCUGGCCAGCCGCCACCAGGGAACUUGCCCCAGAAGCAUCUCAGGAGGCCCUGGCUCCGGGGCCUUUCUAGUGCCCCCCACCCUCCGGCCCACACUCACACACAGGAAGCCUUGCCGGCCUUGAACGCGAUGGGAUUGUGACACCGGUGCUCCUAAGGCCCUCUGUAGGGCUCAGCUCUGUCCUCACCUUGACCCGGCCGUCUCCCCUGCUCCCCUCCCCGUUCGUCUGGCUUCCUCCACCAGGAGCUCCCCUCUGAGGACCUCAGCGCUGCUGCCCGGACUGCAGGGAGCCUGCUCUGCCCACACCUGAGCCCCCAGGAAGAGAGGCCCCAGGAGCAGA